CCUACGGGUGACUGCAGUGAGGAAUCUUUGUCAAUGGCCGGAAGGCUGAACCAGCCAUGCCGCGUGAAGGUCAGUGCCCUAUGGGCGUUAAACUUCUUUUGUGCGGGAGCAAUAAUGGUCACGUGUGGCCAGACGAGAGUACCGUACGCAUAAGCAUCGGCUAACUCCGUGCCAGCAGCCGCGUUAAUACGGGGGAUGCAGGCGUUAUCCGGAUUUAUUGGGUUUAAGGGGUGCGUAGGCUGUGAGGUAAGUCAGCGGUGAAAUGCCCCCGCUCAACGGGGUGAAGUGUCAUUGAUACUGCCUAGCUGGAAUGCGGAUGCCGUGGGAGGAAUGUGUGGUGUAGCGGUGAAAUGCAUAGAUAUCACACAGAACACCGAUUGCGAAGGCAUCUCACGAAUCCGCGAUUGACGCUGAUGCACGAAAGCGUGGGUAUCAAACAGGAUUAGAUACCCUUGUAGUC
rnacentral:rRNA from 1 species